CAGACCGUUUCAAACCGCGGAGACCGCUGGGUGCUCCGGAAGGGCCGAGCCAAUGGGUGAAGAGCGUCGGUAGCGCGCUUACUAGCUCGCAGUUCCUUCAGUUUUGCCACCUCCCACGUCAGGGGCGCUCCUGGGGUGCCGCCUAACUGCUCCUCCCGCGACUCUGUCUGUGCCGGGCUUCUUGGAGUCACGGCCCGCGAGGGCUUGCGUGCCAGACCCCCGGCGCGGGUGGGGCCGGGUCGGAAAAUGGCUGCGACGGGUUUGGAUCAUCUCAAAAAUGACUACAGAAGAAGAUUUUGCCGACCGUCCAGAGCACCUGACAUUAAUACGAAGCAAGGCCAAAACAUACUGGAAAUCUUACAAGAUUGUUUUGAAGAAAAAAGUCUUACCAAUGAUUUUAGCACAAAUUCUACAAAAUCAGUGCUUUAUUCAACACCUAAAAUGGAAGACAUUUGUAUUCAGUCAUCAAGCAAAGAGGCUCAGUGCCAGAAAUCACAUCCAAAGUCAGUUCCAGUUUCUUCAAGGAAGAAAGAAGCCUCUAGGCAGUUCACUGUAGAACCAAGGGAAGUUGUUAACAGAUCAGUUCAGGACCAUGAAGUUCAUCAGCAAAUUUUGGCAACUGAUGUUGGUUCUAAAAAUACACCUGACUCAAGAAAAAUGUCAAGUGAAAAACUAAAAGGUCAUCACGGUGGAGUUGAUGAAGAAUUUUACUUAUCUGUUGGUUCACCUUUCGUUCUUUUGCACGCAAAAACAUGCGUAUCUCAAAGUGCUGUCUCAUCUAUUGCCCAAAACAGAAAGACCUACACUUCUGAAAAGUCAGUAAAUACAUUGUCUUCAAGUACAGAGAUUUCUCUUAAAACCAGAAAAAGGUUAAAUUUUGAAGAUAAAAAUGUUUCGAAGAAAGUAGAAAUACCAAAUGAAUUAUCAGAAACAGAGGAUAAAGUAUCAGAAGAACCACAAGAGAGGAAAUCGUCAAGAACAUCUCAGAAAAGAGUACAAGAUUCAGAAUAUGAAGUUCAACCACAAAGUAAAAAGAGUUUUUCAGCACUGUUUUUAGAAACUGUAAAAAGAAAAAGUGAAUCCAGUCCUGUUGUUAGGCAUAUAGCAACUGCUCCACCUCAUUCAUCUCCUUCAAAUGAUCUAAAGUUGUUAGAGGAUGAAUUUAUAAUUGAUGAAUCAGAAAGAAGUUUUGCCAGUACAUCUUGGAUUACUAUACCCAGAAGGGCGGGGCCUCUGAAACAAUGCACAGUAACCCCUGCAGAGAACACUGCACUCCUUCAAAGUAAAAAGUCAAAAGAAAAACAUCACAGUGUAUCAACUGCAGAUUUGACAAGUGACAAACGUUCUGGCAAAGCUCACCCAGUAGGGAGAUCUCAGCCCUCUGAACAAAAAGGAGUGAAUAAGGGUUGUGCUUUGUCAAAUGAAAUGGAAAAUCAUUGUAGAUCUACAAAAUAUGAACUGUAUUAUGAGAAUGCAGAGAAAUCAUCUGGAAACAGAAGGACUAUAAGACAAAAACAGAGAAGAAAAUUUAAGGCCAAUGUACUUGAAGAACAGGUUGAUACAGAACAAUCUAAAGAUAAAAAUACAAAUAUGUCACAUAUCACCCAAGAUAAGUUACAAAGAAAUUCAGACAGAAAUAUGGAAGAGUGUGAAGAUAUGAUAAAUGUUGCCGUUUCCAAAAAACAGGUGCUGCCCCGAGGAAGCAAGAAAAAUAGCACCAGUGUUCCUUAUGCAGAAAAUCAGAAAAAAGCUAAAGAAUAUAAAAAGAAGCAAUUUUCCAGUGGGUCCAAGAAGAACAAACUUGUACCUGAUGAGGUGACUUCAACUAUUACAAGAAGUCGAAGAAUUUCGAGGCGUCCAUCUAAUUGGUGGGUGGUAAAGUCAGAGCAGAGUCUUGUUUAUAGCAAUUCUUCAAGAAGAAAUGAAUUGUCAGUGUGUCACAACAGUAGACAAACACCUGUUGAAAAACCAAACCAGUCAUCUAAGAAUAUUGGGGACAAAACUAUUCCAUUUAAAGGGCAGAAGAGAACUACUUCAGGCAGUUCAAGAACACAGGAGUUUUUAACUGCUAAAGAUUCUAGAAGAAUUAUUGACCAUGAUAAAAUUUCUGGUUCUUCCCAGAAUGAGUCAUUGAAAAGUGAUGAGGAAGACCUGGUUAAGAAGAAAAAUCAUGAUCAUUCUGGAGGUACAAGAAGCCCAAAGGAUCAAGAUAGUAUGACUGCACAAAAUGUUCAUCCGAAGUCUCAGGUCAAGGGAUUUACAUGCAAGACAUUAGCAGAGUCUAACUUGGAUUCUGGAGAGCCUAAGACUUCAGUUUUGGAAAGAAGUGGACCUUUCAGGCUCAAGAAUUAUUUAUCAUCUGAAAAGAGUAAUUCUGAUGUGGAUGAUAAGGAAUUUCAGGAAAGUUCAGGUGACUCAGGAGUAAAAAUAUCUAGAGUACUAUCAGUGAAUAAAAUACAUCACAAGUUAGUAUUGCCUUCCAACACACCAGAUGUUCGCAGGACCAAGAGAACACGAUUGAAACCUUUGGAAUAUUGGCGAGGAGAGCGAAUAGAUUAUCAUGGAAGGCCAUCAGGAGGAUUUGUGAUUGGUGGAAUACUGUCCCCAGACACAGUAUCAUCUAAAAGGAAGGCAAAAGGAAACAUUGGAAAAGUCAACAAAUUAGUUAAUAGGAAAAGGAUCUGUCUUGAUAAUGAUGAAAGAAGUAUGAACUUAUUCCUGAAAAGAAUAAGUUCAUGGUAAAUCUGAAUGUACCUUUGGGAGAUCCGUUGCAGCCAACAAGGGUAAAGGACCCAGAAACAAGAGAGGUGAUUCUCAUGGCUGUUUCACAGCCAAAGUCCAGUAGGGUAUCUAAUUCCAAUAAGCAGCCUGUGUGAAGACUACUCUGGAGGAGCAUUGAUACCAAACAACAUCUAGAGGGCACAUAACACAGUGCAUUUAUACUCUGGGUUACAAGUGCUAUCAUUAGGAGUGUUGCCUCCCCGGUAGGGUACAGGUCUUCUUUGAUCAAGAGGACACAUGGGGACAAGGGCUUUUUAUGGGUAAUUGUUGCAAUUUAGCUGGUAGAUCCCAGGAUACCCCCUUACUGUGAGACCAGACAGGGACUGUGGGCAGGAUUUAGACAGCCUUAUGGGUCAUGCAUACCAAAAAUAAUACCUGGGAUAUCAGACCUUUAGGAUGAUGACUAGCAAGGACACUGAUCUGCCACACAAAUGCCAGGUUUAAGUUUAAGGUCAGCACAGGGUCCUAGAAGCCUCCUGUUGUAUCUAGUAGGCAUUAAAAGUACAGUGCCUGGGACACCAUGAUUGGUUCCAAAGGAGGGGGCUAUAGUGCGAGAAGGGCAAGUAGGGGACACUCAGCUGUUUAGCAACCAGGCAGUAUUUACAUACAGGAAAUAUUUAGAUGUUUUAACUGUUUUGACAGUACCAGUAAGUACUGAGGACUGUUUAUCCUAAGUCAAAGGACAAAUAGGUCAAGUCAGAGAGGUAGUAAUGGUAUUUUCACUUAAAAUUUUGGCUGCGAAGUAAGUUCCAUUUGACAUCUUAAGUAGUACAGUUAUUUUUAUAAUCAGAUUGUUUAUUUGGCAACAGGCAGAAGUACAGAAAAUUUUGUUUAGUGUAGUAUCUUAAAACAUUUGCUGUUUAGGUUCGAAAAGUAGUGAGUUUGUCAGGAGUUCAUUGCUUUUUAUCUGUUUCUUGCAUCUAUGUAUUUUCUAUGUCCUAUAACCUGUGAGAUUACUAACAUUAGCAAAAAUCCAAGGAAACAAGCUGAUGAUAAAGAAUAUAUUAACUAUAUAUUUGGCAAUGUUUAUAAGUAAAAGGGAAAUUGAAGAGUGAGGUAGUUAUUUUUGAGCAUCUAUUAGAACUCUUGCUCACAUGACAGAAAUCUUGCUAUUUAAUAAUCAGUCAGGCAAGCACAAAAUCUGUUGUUAUGACGAUACAUUUGUUAAUUGUGGGCUUUGUUAAACUUUUUAAAGAUACGGAAUUCUACCUUGGGUCUUAGCUAAUUUUGUUUUCUGAGCUAUAAUAGAAAUAAUAAUAAUACUGCCACUAUUAUCAUUAAUAUCCAAGGCUUAUCUAAUGCUUAUUUUGUGCCAGGCAGUAUUUUAAGUACCUUAUACACAUUAAUUCAUUUGAUAGUCACAACUCUAACAUAGAUGAACUGUUGUCUCAUUUUAUAGAAAAGGAAGCAGGCACAGGGUGAGAAAUAACUUGCCUGGUCACACAGCUUAUAAGGCAGACAAAAUUCUACCUCUACCAUUUUAUUUAGCUCAAGUAAAUGAGGUUUAUAUCUAGAAAUAACUCUUGUUGUAUACAUGUGUGUAUAUGUUCUAUCAUUGAUCAUUAUUAUUGCUAUUGCUUUAUAUUUA